rnacentral:sRNA from 1 species
GCAAGAUGCCCAGGCCCAUGUCCUGAUCCUGCCAUUCUUCCCGUCCCUCAGAAGUGGAUGCACCCCCAAGUGACACCUACUGAUGACUCAAACCCCUGGUGGGCAGCUUUUAGCCGGGUCUGCAAGGACAUGAAGCUUACUCUGGAGCCUGAGAUCAUGCCUGCUGCCACUGACAACCGCUAUAUCCGCGCGGUGGGGAUCCCAGCUCUAGGCUUCUCACCCAUGAACCGCACACCUGUGCUGCUGCACGACCACGAUGAACGGCUGCAUGAGGCUGUGUUCCUCCGUGGGGUGGACAUAUAUACACGCCUGCUGCCUGCCCUUGCCAGUGUGCCUGCCCUGCCCAGUGAGAGCUGAGCCCCGGAACUCCUCAACCUUUGCCCCUGGGGCUUCCAUCCCAACCAGUGCCAAGGACCUCCUCUUCCCCCUUCCAAAUAAUAAAGUCUAUGGACAGGG